ensembl:lncRNA
AUGUCUUUUGGAUUUUCCGUGAGAGUGCUGGUGCUCUCCCUUUUGGCAUUUGGGCACAAUACAAAUGCACUCUACAGAAGUGGAGGCCCCAGUGGUACUAGGCCUCUCUUUGCUCAUCCACGAAGCCACAACCCUGAUUUUGUGUCAACUUAUGAGCGUUCUGUGAAGCCUGGAGGGUUUCUGGGUAGUUCUGGAUCCAGUCACGGUGGAAGUGGGCAAGUAGAUGGUUACAGUCCAUAUGGAAGUGUUUCUAGUUACGUGCCUGAACCACAGAUCCUUAGGAAACAAAACUCUCAGCAGCCGCCUAAAACUAACCCCAAUGCAAAUGGUAGAUUCUCGACCAAAGGUGGCAACUGGGAUUUGGCCCCUCAAAAUGGAAAAAGUAUUAAGUCAGGUAUUGCUUCAAGUAGUGCAAUUAUUAUGCAAUCUGGUUCAGAGCCACACACUUUCAAUCCGGGCUACCUGCCAAAGCAGCCCAGGCCCCAGGAAGUGCCUACUUCCAAUACAGGCUACCCGCAGAAGCCGCCCAGGCCCCAGCAGCUGCCUAUUUUCAAUAUGGGCUACCUGCAGAAGCCGCCCCAGCAGCUGCCCACUUCCAAUACAGGCUACCUGCAGAAGCCGGCCCAGCAGCUGCCCACUUCCAAUACAGGCAACCUGGAGAGGCUGCCCAAGCCCCAGCAGUUGCCGAUCUUCAACAAAGGCUACCUGCAGAAGCCGGCCCAGCAGCUGCCCACUUCCAAUACAGGCUACCUGCAGAUACCACCCAGGCCCCAGGCGCUCUCCUCUUUUAACACAGGCUACCAGUCCAAGCCCCAGCAGUCCCACACUUUCAAUCCAGGCAAUGUGCAGAAGCCUCCCAGGAGCCAGCAGGCCCACGCUUUUAAUUCAGUCUACCAGCCCCAGAAAGCCGUGUUGCAAACCAAAGCUGGCAUGUGGGACUUGUUUUCAGAUCCUACCAAAUCAAAUGUUGAUUCAAGAAAUUCAAAACCAAUUUCAAUGGAAUCUCCGUGCCAUUCCAGAAGGCAGCGUCCACUGGUGCCGAUGUAAAACAUUUCCCUCACAGUUCCUGGCAUUACGUUUUUUGGGGGGAAAAAACAAUAAAUUACUUUGAACUGAAUUGUCUGCAAUGGUCAUUUGAAACCAGAAAAUGUAUGGUUGCAACUAUACCCACUGAUUUCUCUGGUAUAAUACCAUAACUGUAGUUUAUAAAAUUGCUUCAUACAAAUUAAAUUCCUGAAGUGAAUGAGAUUGAGCUUAAAUCUGACCUAGUUUCUUACUGAAGAAUCUUGGCCACUUUGAUGGUUUUAAAAUCUGUAAGCCCAGUAGUUACUGGCGGACAAUACAAACUGAACCCUUGUUCUCUUUAGCUCAGUAGCUAGGCUGAGUCACAGCUCUAUUGAAUGUACUUCUAAAACUGUAGGGCGCAACCCUCUAACUGGUAUACAGCCCAUUUUUAAUGCUUUGUAGCAGCAAGCAGGCUUAUGGCAGCCAGUAAUUCAGAUAAAAUAUCCUUCCAUUGAGGGCCUAAAUCUCCACUAAUGUUUAGCACAAGUUGCACAUUGUGUUUAAAAGAUGCAGGGUAAAACGCUGCCAAAAUGGUUAUCACAUUUUGCUGUUUAUCUUGUCAGUGCAAAUGGGUUAAUUAAAGCAAAUGUUUCUUCUGAACUAAAGCAAUAACGCUAUGUUGACGAAAUGAGCAACUGUUCUGUUCUUCGUACAGCGUUUCUCUAACAUGUUGACUUUACAAAAAUGUUCCUUCUAAAAAUCCCCAAUGAUUCACAAUUGAGCAAACUGAUCACAACCCAACCUUUCUACCAUGAGAGUUCAAUGAAACACAGAUUUUCAGCUGGGUGUUAAAGGAAUGUUUGGAAAUGCACUUCAUGUUUUGGCAGUACUGUUAGUCCAGCAAUAAGAUCUCACGUCUGAAGCAUUCUUUUUUUAACGUAACAGCGCUCACUAUGUUCAAAAAGAAACUUAAUUUUCUCCAUAUCCACAAUAACUUGUGUUCCGUUACAUCAGAUAAUUUUUACUCAUAUUGGGGAAAACUUUUGUAAUUCCCUGCCCAGGGAAAAUACAUCGAGACUAAGGUGCGAAUUGAAAUGGAGAUUACUGUGUCGCUGUUAAAUUAAUAGACUAACAAAAGGUUUGCAGUUUUUAUCACGUUACCCAAUCGAGAGCCUACAUUCAUGAAUGUCUUUUAGAGAGGUACUUAUUAAAACUCAUAUUUUCAUUCUGUAUGCUGUGAUUGUAUUGUUAGAAACUGGGGUGUUUCCGAUAUUUAGUUUAUUCUUAUCGAUAUAAAGGGUCCGUAUUUACUUUUUUAACCGCAUUGCUAAUGUGCAAAUCUCAAUUGUAGCUAACAGGCCCUUUCUUUCUAUGCAUAGGCUUCAUGGUGCAGAAACUUCCUAUGUCCCCUUGAAGGUGGACUGAAAAUGGCGUCCUCAAGGGGGUUGUUUAAUGCUGCUGCUGUUUUGCAUGACGUGAUGGUUAUUUAGUAACUCAGUGUCAAAUAAACUGUAGAUCAAAGCAUGCUUACGGCUAGGCUUACUAUGAUAGAUAGGUCUCUGCAGCUGCCAGAACCAUAUACAUGGGGCCUCUACGUUCCUUUGUCCCAUUCCAAAUAUCGUUACGUUAGUUCGCCAAAGAUCGCAACGACAAAAUUGCAGAACACAAACAGUCCUCACACCAAUGGGUGACGUUACGAUACCUCUAAUACGUACCCUUCUUAAAUACCUCCAUCACUCUGAUAGAGCCUUCAGACCAGGGCUGAGCUGAAUACAUAUCCGUCGAAAAAUGUUCAAAGAAUUUAGUCAACAUAUUAUACUGCAACGAGGACGCCUCCAACUGUAAAGCUAUGGGACGAGCUGCACUCUAUUGGAGGAGGUGACAGUUAGAUUUGUGUGAAUAGUAAGCCACACAAGGGUUUGGGUUCAUGCCCUAUCAGAACGUUUUUUAGUGAAUUCCGUCUCUGAAGAACAGUAGCACAAAGACGCUUUGUGAAGAGGAUACCACCACAUCAGCAGAGCAGCAACGUGUUGCAAAGAAUAUUUUCUUGAAAUAUCAUGACCCUUAUUUCACCCUAAACUCAACCCAAAACCCCAAAAGCCUCUUAAUUCCCAAAAUAGUAACAAUGUAUUCGUUAGACUAGGAGCACGUAUGAUUUAUGGGGUUUUCUGAAGAGAAGGAAGUUGUGAAUCCAAGCAGAAAUCCUCCUUAUAGAACUGUGGGAUUUAAAAGUCAAGGGAUUUAAAAAUUCAACAUGCUAGGGCAAAUUUUAUAUUUUGUAUUGUCAUCUGGCACCUGAAUUUGUGUUUUCUUUUCCACAAACAAAUAUAUUUAUACACAAGUUGGUGCAGAAAAAACUCUAGGGUUACCCUAGGGUUAACGAAAUAAAGUCCUUGACUCGCCAUCUUUUAUAUGGAGUAAAUGUUCGUAGGCUUUUCCUGCCAGAGGCUGAUGUGGGAUACCCUCCGGUCUGGGACGUCAGGCGGAUCUGCUGACGAGGCUGUUGAAUUGAUCAGGGACCAAUUUGCUGCCUGAUCUUCCAUUGAGGCAGGUGACCUUCCAACCGGCGCACUUCCAGAGUGGGCGUGAGAAUCCGGUGCAGUCUAAAGAUGAAUUGCAGUCAUCAUCCUACCAAGGUUGCGUUGGAUGACCUCCCAACGACGUAGUAAUCAUGGAGGAUUGGUUCUGAUUAGCUGGCCCAUACAAAAAGUUUUAAACUGAUGAAUACACCUUUUAUUUAUUUGUCUGAAUUACACCGCACCACAUUUUUCUCUUGCUGUAAACUCGCAGCAGGCCUUUUAUCUUUUACUGAAAAAAAGGAGACAACUUUCCCUGACUCAUUGUUCAAGCCUUUCAGUGCAUGUAUGGAAGUAAAUAUGGGGCUUCGUUGAGUGUUUUAACUUUAACUUCAUGCCAUCAGUGUGGUUUGUGUCUGUAAGAUUCAGUAAUAGACAGCUGAUGCUGGGAUGCUUCAACGAGCUAUUAGGAGUGAUUGGCGGAGUUUUGAAAGUUUUGAAAGUUUUUGAAGUUAAAGUUAAAACACUCAACGAAGCCCCAUUAUUAAUGGACAUGGCUGAAAUUCGGUCAUCAUAGUCGACAAGCCGAAGUUGUAUUGGGGCGCUCGCUCCUUUUGCUUGACGUACGCUCCCGAUCUUGAAUCUAGAAUCGAUUGCUCUUCCUUGGGUUCCCGGAUGUUGCGGUUCGAAUUUUUUUGCAUUGAAUGUUUGCAUUGAUUUUUUUUGCAUUGAAUUUUUGGAUUGAAUUUUUUUGUAUUGAAUUUUUGCAUUGAAUUUUUUGCGGUUGAAUUAUUUGCGGUUGAAUUUUUUGCAGUUGAAUAUUUUAACGUUGAAAAACAUUCAGAUACAUGAUUUCAAUGCAUAAAUAUUCAGUGCUAGAAAUUUAGUCACCUUUUUCUUUCAAAAUCCGAUGACACAGAUGUAUGUGCAUAUUUUUGAACAUGUUACAUUGUUGUGGGAGCAGCACAUGUCACCUGUUUGGAAUCUUUGCACUAAGAUCAACAGUGGGAAUCUCCUUUACACACAUGGAGAGAUACGUACUCUGGGUUGUGACUGUAUUCAUGCCUACAUUUAUGUCUAUGCAUGAGUAUCUUUGUGACCAAUAUUAUUUUUAAGUAGAGCAUAUAAUAAGAGAUGAAACCUUUUAAAACAGUUAGAUGGCCGACAUGAUGGCCAAGCAGAAGGAGCACACGUUUCUGCAAUAUUUAUUAAUAUUGAUGCAUACAGACAUAUUUGCACACGGUUAGAAAUGUGCUCAUAAAGCGACAGUUGUGAAAAUUAAACCGCAGACCAAAGCGUUGUGGAAAACCAGAGUCUGAUCAAUGUGAGGCCCCCUUCAAUAAUUACCUCUGUGACAUGCAGAGGUGUAUGCACAUUUCCAUUCCAAUACGACCUUUUUCAGUUUUCGGGCAUUAGAAACAGGAAACUGUAUGUCUGACAAGAGGAAAAUGGCACAGCUAUUUUUGGCCACAUUCCUCUGUCAAUUUCCUGUUGCUGAGUGCAUCCUUGAUUGAGUGAUGAAGCCGGUAAUUGCAGGUCAGAGUGUGUUACGGUGAAAGAGGUCCUUGUGGUGGAUCCGGUUGUGGCAGAGUUAAAAAAAGAGGAGGAGAAAACAUCUUUUAACUCUCAGUGAUCUUCUAAAGUCUGUGCAGUGCUCAUGAUGAAAAGGAAUGAGGCAUGAACACAAAAGUUUCAGGAAAUAGCUUUGGUAGUCCGACACAAUUAGGACGAUCCACUGUGGUGGCGAUUGCAGUCUUUGUGUAAUCUUUACCCACUGCACUUUCUCUCACAUUUCUUUCACAUUUUCUUACACAUCUCCUCGAUGCGGUUAACACAUGUUAACAAGAGCAAGCAUCUGUCCCAGUGAGCUUAAACCGCUGAGAUGCUUAUACAUCAUUACUGCUCCUUAAAACUCUGUUUGCUAUUGUAUUUUAAAUAUUAGUGAGCUAGUGGCAACCCAUCAUUUUACACCUCUGAUUGGAUAUAAAUGAAUGGAAGCUGUCGCCUGGCUGAGCAUGCAAGUCUUUCCUGACUUUCAAACAGUUUAAUUAACAAACCGAUGACGACUCUAUACUUUUGAUGUAGAAAUUAUACUGAUUCAUGACAUUUUGCUGUGUAAGGACACUUUGAGGAUGGAGAUAUUCAGUACAAGUGCUAGGCAUUUAAUAAAGUGUGAUUUAAGUGAUUGAUAUUGAUUU